GCGGACGGCGAAGAGGAAGACGACGCCAUGGGCGAACUAGGCAAGUUGGUGAUGUAUGUGGAAGAGGGUGCUCUGAUUACCAUGUGAAAAUUGGAGGAACCGUGGUUGCCAAACUCGGCAGACGUACGGGUUGCAUGUUUAUAGGUGGCCAAUGCCAAGAGUUUUAUACGGGCAGGAGUUGUUCAUGAGUUUGGUUUGGAUCCAUACUUGUACAUCAAGAAUAUCUCUAAGCUUUAUCUCUAGACUAACCGAACCAAUCUCUGAUACAACUCCUAUUACUAUCUGUUACAUGAGAUAUCAUCUAUUCUAACAGAGUUCAGUCGAAUAUCACAGUAUCACUGGAUCUCACAGCCAUCAGUGCUUAUUUUCUUCUUUGUUCAGGUUGCUAUGUCAUCACUACCCCCUGUACAGCAAUCACUGUUCAGUCGAAUCUCACUGCCAUCACUGUUCAGCUUAUUUUCUUCACUGUUCACAAUAACAUCCAAGCAAACAUACAAGGCUGUAAGUCAUGAGUUCAGUGGUAAUAUAUAGAUUUAAUUCACGACAACUUCUCUUGAAAAUCUCCCCUGGCCCCUGUACAGCAAGAUCGAUGUACACCCAUGGUCUCCGUUUUCCAUUUUAGUAGCUUCUAUAUACCUAAUAUUUCAGUAGCUAAUGCACAGUUUAUUAAUCCCCAACCCUCUCUUUUCCAUUUUUUUUGUUUCCAUACAAUCAAUCCG
rnacentral:lncRNA from 1 species